GACGAACGUUGGCGGCGUGCUUAACACAUGCAAGUCGAACGGAAAGGCCCUGCUUUUGUGGGGUGCUCGAGUGGCGAACGGGUGAGUAACACGUGAGUAACCUGCCCUUGACUUUGGGAUAACUUCAGGAAACUGGGGCUAAUACCGGAUAGGAGCUCCUGCUGCAUGGUGGGGGUUGGAAAGUUUCGGCGGUUGGGGAUGGACUCGCGGCUUAUCAGCUUGUUGGUGGGGUAGUGGCUUACCAAGGCUUUGACGGGUAGCCGGCCUGAGAGGGCGACCGGCCACAUUGGGACUGAGAUACGGCCCAGACUCCUACGGGAGGCAGCAGUGGGGAAUAUUGCACAAUGGGCGGAAGCCUGAUGCAGCAACGCCGCGUGCGGGAUGACGGCCUUCGGGUUGUAAACCGCUUUCGCCUGUGACGAAGCGUGAGUGACGGUAAUGGGUAAAGAAGCACCGGCUAACUACGUGCUAGCAGCCGCGGUGAUACGUAGGGUGCGAGCGUUGUCCGGAUUUAUUGGGCGUAAAGGGCUCGUAGGUGGUUGAUCGCGUCGGAAGUGUAAUCUUGGGGCUUAACCCUGAGCGUGCUUUCGAUACGGGUUGACUUGAGGAAGGUAGGGGAGAAUGGAAUUCCUGGUGGAGCGGUGGAAUGCGCAGAUAUCAGGAGGAACACCAGUGGCGAAGGCGGUUCUCUGGGCCUUUCCUGACGCUGAGGAGCGAAAGCGUGGGGAGCGAACAGGCUUAGAUACCCUGGUAGUCCACGCUGUAAACGGUGGGUACUAGGUGUGGGGUCCAUUCCACGGGUUCCGUGCCGUAGCUAACGUUUUAAGUACCCCGCCUGGGGAGUACGGCCGCAAGGCUAAAACUCAAAGGAAUUGACGGGGCCCCGCACAAGCGGCGGAGCAUGCGGAUUAAUUCGAUGCAACGCGUAGAACCUUACCUGGGUUUGACAUGGAUCGGGAGUGCUCAGAGAUGGGUGUGCCUCUUUUGGGGUCGGUUCACAGGUGGUGCAUGCCUGUCGUCAGCUCGUGUCGUGAGAUGUUGGGUUAAGUCCCGCAACGAGCGCAACCCUUGUUCACUGUUGCCAGCACGUUAUGGUGGGGACUCAGUGGAGACCGCCGGGGUCAACUCGGAGGAAGGUGGGGAUGACGUCAAGUCCUCAUGCCCCUUAUGUCCAGGGCUUCACGCAUGCUACAAUGGCUGGUACAGAGAGUGGCGAGCCUGUGAGGGUGAGCGAAUCUCGGAAAGCCGGUCUCAGUUCGGAUUGGGGUCUGCAACUCGACCUCAUGAAGUCGGAGUCGCUAGUAAUCGCAGAUCAGCAACGCUGCGGUGAAUACGUUCCCGGG
rnacentral:rRNA from 1 species